AGGCAAGCCAGGUGACAGAGCUGUUGCAGAUGCUGAUUACUGUGAGCCAGAGCCAUAAUGUUGUUGUGCACUGAACAGAAUGGAAUUGGCCAGGUGAACCUUUUUUGGGUAUGGAAAAGGAUGGCGAGCCAAUGAACGGCUAGGAGCAGGACUCAUUCUGCAUUGAAGCUUCCACUGGACUGGUAGGAAGCUAUCAAAGGCGACGCUCUGUCCCGUAAUUUCCGAAUACACUGAUUUCCACAAUCAUACACACCAGUUCCCCCGUUUAUGGACAAUAGCGCUUGGACAUCUCUCAUGGAUAUUCAGAUAAAACUCAUGGACUUCAGUGUGGAUCAGUGUUUUCGAUGUUAACAUGUGUUAUUUAUGGGGAACUUUUUUUGAGAAUCUAUAUUGCUUGGUAUAAGCCAGAAGAAUUUGCUUAGUUGCCUUUGUGCACCCCCACUGGGUUUUUCUAUUAAUUAAAUAGCUACAGCAGGAAUGAUUAUUUAAGCUUUCAUUUUCUUUUCUUAAUUUUCUUUGCUUUCGGUUAAAUACAUGGUACCUGCAAAAGCA